UACGUAGGGUGCAAGCGUUGUCCGGAAUUAUUGGGCGUAAAGAGCUCGUAGGCGGCUUGUCGCGUCGGCUGUGAAAACCUGGGGCUCAACCCCGGGCCUGCAGCCGAUACGGGCAGGCUAGAGUUCGGUAGGGGAGACUGGAAUUCUCGGUGUAGCGGUGAAAUGCGUAGAUAUCGAGAGGAACACCUGCGGCGAAGGCGGGUUGCUGGGCUGACACUGACGCUGAGGCGCGAAAGCUAGGGGAGCGAACGGG
rnacentral:rRNA from 1 species